rnacentral:rRNA from 1 species
GACGAACGCUGGCGGCGUGCCUAAUACAUGCAAGUAGAACGCUGAAGAGAGGCGCUUGCUCUUCUUGGAUGAGUUGCGAACGGGUGAGUAACGCGUAGGUAACCUGCCUUGUAGCGGGGGAUAACUAUUGGAAACGAUAGCUAAUACCGCAUAACAAUGGAUGACACAUGUCAUUUAUUUGAAAGUGGCAAUUGCUCCACUACAAGAUGGACCUGCGUUGUAUUAGCUAGUAGGUGAGGUAAUGGCUCACCUAGGCGACGAUACAUAGCCGACCUGAGAGGGUGGUCGGCCACACUGGGACUGAGACACGGCCCAGACUCCUACGGGAGGCAGCAGUAGGGAAUCUUCGGCAAUGGGGGCAACCCUGACCGAGCAACGCCGCGUGAGUGAAGAAGGUUUUCGGAUCGUAAAGCUCUGUUGUAAGUCAAGAACGGGUGUGAGAGUGGAAAGUUCACACUGUGACGGUAGCUUACCAGAAAGGGACGGCUAACUACGUG